CCUGAUGUUACAUUUAGCUACUCAUGUAUAUCUUUUAGAUUUUUUUCUCUUUGUAAAUUUUGUUUUUUGUUUGCUCACCUUGUAAUCAACUCUGUAUUUGAUGAUUUAGAAAUCAGAAUUCAGUUUAACUCUGCAAUUAACCCUUAAUGAUAAUAUAAUUGUUCUGGUUUCACUCAUCCCUAAUUCAUAGCUUCACCAAUGGUGAUAGCAUUGUGUCAAGGAGCAGGUGGAGAGGGAGAAAGAGAAAGGGAGAAUGGAAGCCAAGUGAUAGACAAAGAGAGUGAAAGCUUCUGUUGAACUCUCAUGGUUGGAGAUACUGCAAGAAUUUUGAUUCGGCACGGCCCUCAUGGAGACAAUGGAGAUGGUGUUCAGCGGUGCACUCAGCCAGAGUUCGUCGUACGUCCGACAUUUGCUGAUUCGGCAGGGCCCUCAUGGAAACAAAUUCAGGGCGCAGAGAAACUAAUGGAGCAACCAGGAGUCCAAUCAUUUUAAGGCAGAACAUUGAACAUAUCAGUGAUCGGACACUCGAGACAACUCUUAAUGAGUUCUAGCAACCGAAGACAGAAUAUUUGCGUAGGAUGCAACAAAGCUGCAUGUCAUGAGAUUAUUGAAUACAUUGAGUAAUUUGGAAUGGAAACAUUUUUGGUUAAAUAGGAUGCUCUUGAGAUUAUUUCUCAUGCCAACAUGGCAUGCCCGAGCUAAAAAUGUGCCACCCUUUGACAGGACCAUGCCUUGUUAGAGGAGGUUUCUGGUUGGAUAAAUGAGAAGGCCAUGAUGCCUAUUUGGGCUAAGAUGACUCCUAACAUUGCAGGUAUUACAGAUGGAACUUAAGCUUCCAUAAUGCAUUUGUUGAGUAAUUAGCAGUCACAUAUCUUCUGUGUUUUUAAUUGCUAUACGGUGUCAACAAAUGAUGAGGUUCUAAAUUAUUAUUUUUAUCAUUGCCUACUUUUCAAAUGCGUAGUUUCUCUCUGCAUUGAUCUUAGUAGUUUGAUUCUCCGGUAGUACAUUUGGUGAUCCUAACCAGA